rnacentral:rRNA from 1 species
UACAGAGGGGGCAAGCGUUGUUCGGAAUUACUGGGCGUAAAGGGCGCGUAGGCGGCCCGCUAAGUCGGACGUGAAAUCCCCGAGCUCAACUCGGGAACUGCGUCCGAUACUGGUGGGCUUGAAUCCGGGAGAGGGAUGCGGAAUUCCAGGUGUAGCGGUGAAAUGCGUAGAUAUCUGGAGGAACACCGGUGGCGAAGGCGGCAUCCUGGACCGGCAUUGACGCUGAGGCGCGAAAGCUAGGGGAGCAAACGGG